ACUUGGGCCUCUCUCAUUUGAGCCCACAGGUCCACAAAAAUCAGGUUAUAAAUUCAGAGUUUCAGUGAAACAAAAUUCCAUUCUAUUCCUAUUACCCUGGCUGGAGGAAAAAGAUACUGAGAGAAGCUCUAACAGAGUUCAGAGCAACCUCCAGAGACUGAAGGGAACUCAUCUGCAAAGAACCAAUUCCCUCUCAUAUAAACCCUAAGAUUGUUCUGCAAACCCA
rnacentral:lncRNA from 1 species